rnacentral:rRNA from 1 species
UACAGAGACUGCAAGCGUUAUUCGGAUUUACUGGGCGUAAAGAGCGCGCAGGCGGUCGUAUAAGUCGAAUGUGAAAGCCCCCGGCUCAACUGGGGAGGGUCAUUCGAUACUGUUCGACUCGAAGGCAGGAGAGGGAAGUGGAAUUCCGGGUGUAGUGGUGAAAUGCGUAGAUAUCCGGAGGAACACCAGUGGCGAAGGCGACUUUCUGGCCUGUUCUUGACGCUGAGGCGCGAAAGCUAGGGGAGCAAACGGG